UCUGGAAACUCCCUACCCCUUCCUGCUCCCCAGCCAGGGAACUUGGAGAAUCUAGCCAGACCUCAAGUGCCUGGCCCGCUCCCCCAGCCUGGUCCCGACAGAUACCCACUGGUCCAGACAAGGCUGAGUUCUCCAGUCGGGGCCUCAACCAGAGACACCUGCCCUCACGCCAUCACUCCAGGCAUGGUGGGAGCCCCAUUGCCAGCUGCAGCAGGGAAGAGCCCAGAACCUUUCCCGGGGAGGAGCCUCAGCCAUUCCUGAGUUCCUGUCACUGAAGCGGGGAGUAGCACACAUUGGCACCUAGUGUCACGCCCUGGCUCCAGUCUGUUUCAUAAUACUAACAGAGGCAACAUAAUAAUAAUAGCAGUGAGGUGGGUGUGGACCUCACUGCAUUAAAAUCAAAUAAAGUUGCCUCCAUUACCGGGCCCCUUCCCCCUUCCCCCCAGAGCCCCACCAAGAUCUGUGAGGCUUACAAGGUACCGAAAAUAGGGAGACGCUUAUAACCCUGGGUCCAUCAUGGUUGCUACUGACCUUCCCAUUGGCCAAGGCUUCACGGGACUUUCCAUUUCUCUGCCCUUUAUGGGUCAGGGGCCUGGCCUUUGGAGGUUCAUCCUCUCUUGGGGACCCAGUGACCUCUGAUCCAUCCCCAAACUCAAGGAAGUCUCCUUAACUGCCAACAGAGGCACUCUCCUUUCUCCUCCUUACCACUUCCACAGAGAACACCUAACACAACUUUUCAGUGACUCCGUGCUUCCAAAAGAAAAUAAAAAAUGCUGACUC